rnacentral:rRNA from 1 species
GAUGAACGCUAGCUACAGGCUUAACACAUGCAAGUCGAGGGGAAACGGCAUUGAGUGCUUGCACUCUUUGGACGUCGACCGGCGCACGGGUGAGUAACGCGUAUCCAACCUUCCCAUUACUGUGGGAUAACCUGCCGAAAGGCAGACUAAUAUCGCAUAGUCUUCGAUGACGGCAUCAGAUUUGAAGUAAAGAUUUAUCGGUAAUGGAUGGGGAUGCGUCUGAUUAGCUUGUUGGCGGGGUAACGGCCCACCAAGGCGACGAUCAGUAGGAGUUCUGAGAGGAAGGUCCCCCACAUUGGAACUGAGACACGGUCCAAACUCCUACGGGAGGCAGCAGUGAGGAAUAUUGGUCAAUGGACGGAAGUCUGAACCAGCCAAGUAGCGUGCAGGAUGACGGCCCUAUGGGUUGUAAACUGCUUUUGUAUGGGGAUAAAGUUAGGGACGUGUCCCUAUUUGCAG